GGGUUAAAGGAAGAAGAUGACCUUCUAUUUUAAUGAGGACAGAGGUUAUUGUUGAUAAGUGGAGUGGAGAUUGUUGAUGAAUAUGAAAAGAUGGUGAACCGUGAUUUAUGGUGGUCGAUGGUUAAGGCAUGAAGGCAACACGGUGGAGGGAGUUUGUAAAGAAGGUCUCAAGAAAUGUGAUUGUGCCUAACUCAACCCUACAUAACUGGUUUGUAAGGUAAGAAUUGCCCCCACUUAGAAACACAACACAUGCCAUAUCUUUAAGCAAUUUGGGAC
rnacentral:lncRNA from 1 species